rnacentral:rRNA from 1 species
AUUGAACGCUGGCGGCAUGCCUUACACAUGCAAAUCGAACGGUAACGGGCCUUCGGGUGCCGACGAGUGGCGAACGGGUGAGUAAUACAUCGGAACGUGCCCGAUCGUGGGGGAUAACGAGGCGAAAGCUUUGCUAAUACCGCAUACGAUCUACGGAUGAAAGCAGGGGACCGCAAGGCCUUGCGCGGACGGAGCGGCCGAUGGCAGAUUAGGUAGUUGGUGGGAUAAAAGCUUACCAAGCCGACGAUCUGUAGCUGGUCUGAGAGGAUGAUCAGCCACACUGGGACUGAGACACGGCCCAGACUCCUACGGGAGGCAGCAGUGGGGAAUUUUGGACAAUGGGCGCAAGCCUGAUCCAGCCAUGCCGCGUGCAGGAUGAAGGCCUUCGGGUUGUAAACUGAUUUUGUACGGAACGAAAAGCCUUCUUUUAAUACAGGAGGGUCAUGACGGUACCGUAAGAAUAAGCACCGGCUAACUACGCG